rnacentral:snoRNA from 1 species
ACGCCGUCCUCCAGAUGAUGAGAACAUUUCGAACCGGUAUAUUAGGAAGAGCCGGAAGAGGUAUGCCAGGAUACACAUCGUGGUCCUGUCGUCGGUGCUUAUAAUGGUUCUGCUGAGUGGUGUCAUGGU